UAAAUUUCUUGGACUUUGGUUUUGGAUAUGGUCGGGGGCAUGUAUCGAUCGGAUGUUCUUUGAUUUCUGUUAGAUGCUUUGUAUGACUACUAUAGGCAUGGUCGAUGUCGGUAUUGGUGUUAGCCUUGGUAUUGGUAUUGGUAUAGGGGCUGACACCGGUUGGAUGCUUGGUUGGAUGUUUGGAUGGUUAUGGCUAUCAACUUUAUUAAAUGUCUUUCAUUUAUAAUUGUUCUAUCUUGUUAUAUGUUUGAGAUUCAUUAGACAUAGGGUACAGGGCG
rnacentral:lncRNA from 1 species